rnacentral:rRNA from 1 species
AAACCUCUUUCAGGAGGGACGAAGCCACUCGGGUUAAUAGCCUAGAGGGUGACGGUACCUCCAGAAGAAGCCCCGGCUAACUACGUGCCAGCAGCCGCGGUAAUACGUAGGGGGCAAGCGUUGUCCGGAUUUAUUGGGCGUAAAGAGCGUGUAGGCGGCCUUACAGGUCAGCUGUGAAAACUCGAGGCUCAACCUCGAGACGUCGGUUGAAACCGUAAGGCUAGAGUCCGGAAGAGGAGAGUGGAAUUCCCGGUGUAGCGGUGAAAUGCGCAGAUAUCGGGAAGAACACCCGUGGCGAAGGCGGCUCUCUGGGACGGUACUGACGCUGAGACGCGAAAGCGUGGGGAGCGAACAGGAUUAGAUACCCUGGUAGUCCACGCCGUAAACGAUGGGCACUAGGUGUGGCGGGUAUCGACUCCCGCUGUGCCGAAGCUAACGCAUUAAGUGCCCCGCCUGGGGAGUACGGCCGCAAGGCUAAAACUCAAAUGAAUUGACGG